GUGCUUGCUUUGGCAGCGCAUAUACUAAAUUGGAAUGAUACGGAGAAGAUUAGCAUGGCCCCCUGUGCAAGGAUGACAUGCAAAUAGAACUUGAAUGUUAAA